rnacentral:lncRNA from 1 species
UUGUAAUCAACGAUGUAUAUGAUGAUAAUAACAUCGUUUUCUUAAAAAUUCUGUUGUCUGAGUAUGUUUUAUACAUCAGAUGUUUGUAAUAACCGAUGUAUAUGCUAAGAAUAACCUCAGUUUUUACAUAAAAAGUAAUGUUUAGAGUUGGAUUUUACAUCAGUUCUUGUUUUAAUAAGUGUUGUCUUAAGUGUUUUUUGACAUCUUCUUUUGAAAUAAAAUAUGAUGUGUAUUUCGUUUUUUGCCACUAGUUUUCAGUCACAUGCACAUCAUAGAACCCAAAAUACUAUUCAUAUUCAUUCAUAAAAACCGCAAUACCAAUAUCCAACAUUUAAUCAUAUACAACCAAUAUACCAAAAAAGCCCAAACUACCAAAAUCUAAAGUCAUCCAAAAACUCCAAACUAAAAUAAUCUAGUUAGCCAUCGGCCAAAAUCCAAACUCCAAACUCCAAACUCUUUGGCGGCCUGUAAAAGACAUAUACUUCAUGUUAAUUAUGACUUAGAAAUGAAUAAGAAAAAUACCAAUCAACGCGAACGAUAAAUAAAUGAAUAAGAAAACACACACNUUAGCCCAGAAUGGAAUGAGCCAUUCCAUUCCAAAAAUAAAAUUUUUUGUUUGGUUGGCCCAAGGAAUGGAAUAGCCCAUUCUUUUAUUCAUUCCAAUCCAUAUCUAAUCAGAUAAUCGAUUCAUUUUUGGAAGUGCGGGUUAAGCCCAUUCCAUUCACUCACGAGUCACGCCCACCUCUCUCACGCAGCUCUCCCUCGCCUCUCUCACGCAGCUUUCUCUCGCCUCUCUCUCCGCCCCUCUCUCUCGCCUCUCUCUCUUCCUCGCAUCUCUCUUUCUCAUCACUCCUUCCUCGCAUCUCUCUCUCAUCUCUCUCUUCUUUUUCUGCCUCUCCCCCUCUUCAGUCGCCUCCAUUGUNUAUAUGUCUAUACAGCGCAACACGCAGUAGGCAAAACUGAAAUAGAAGCUAAAAUAACUAGAGAAAGUUGACUCCGCAGAUUUCAAUAAGCUCCAUGUCCGACGCAUCUCAAGCAUUCACUUUACCAUUUGCAACGAUUUUGAGAGACAAAAUAUAUUAAGACAAGAAUUAGAUGAGAAGGUACCGAUUGACCUUUGUACAGAAUAUAUGUGCAUGACUUCUGAUCUGCACCANUUACUUAAUCUGACUUUUUAGUUGUAAUUUUGUCUGAUUUGUCACUGGUUUGUCUGAUUCUUGGGCUUUACACAGAAUUUUUAGGAUUUUGUUUUUGUUAUGUAGCUUCCUAUUGAAGGUGUCUCGAGGGAUUGAUCAUCGCUGUUUGAACUACUAAUAAGUUCUGUCCUGGUCUUUGUUAUGUUUUUAAAUCUGAGCAUGACCUGAGCACCUGCUAGUAGAAUCAAUCUCUAAUUUACAGAAUAGAUUUUGAAAAUAUCCCCCAUGUCUGUAAUACUCUGUCUAUCUAUACCUUUGUUUACAUAAUUAAAUUGUCUAUAAUACUAAGAACAGCAACGUGGUUAUAUGCAGUAAUGGCACGGCUUCCGUUAAGUAAAAGAAAUUCUAGGCGAAGGAAGAGAAUUAUGUUAUAUAUGGUGUGGCUGAAAAUGAUUGCUUCGAUAUCUUGGUAUUUUCAAAUGAUUGUUGUGCUAGUUUAUGAAAUCAGUGUUCUUUUAAAUUUUAGGUUUGGCUCUGGGCAUUCACAAGCUUUUAAAUUGGCAGUCUCAAGCUUCAGAGUCCUUGACUGGAGUGUUUUUGGUGGUCCUUGAUGAUGAUUCACUUGAUUAUAUCAGUAUUAAGCUUUUAAAUUGGCAUACUGUUGAGUUUUUAUUUCCUGGCAAACUGCCCUUUCUUCAGCCUUAUUGGUGUAAUUUUUGGUCAGUCUGAAAAGCCAUAGUAUGUUGUUUUCUUUGCUGAUGUGCCUGCAAAUUAUAUUAUAACACUACUACAAUUUAGUUAAUAGACAUCGGUUUUUGGCCGAUGUCUUUGUGUAUCAGCCUCCGAUGUCUAGGUCGGCGAUGUUAAAGGUCCUAUACAAAGACAUCGGCCAAAAACUAAUGUCUCUGUGACUUUUAUCAUCGUUUUUUAGCUUAAAUACUGAUGUCUAUCAGACGUUUUUAUGAUUAAACUACAUGAUUUAAUUGUGCAUAAUGUAAUAUUAUCUCUAUAACACUAAUUUAAACAUGCGACUCGUAAGAAAUUAGAUGACAUAGACAUCGUUUCUUUAUAGGUUCCGUUGUUGUAAGCUCUUUUAUACAUCAGUUCUUUGUAAUCAACGAUGUAUAUGAUGAUAAUAACAUCGUUUUCUUAAAAAUUCUGUUGUCUGAGUAUGUUUUAUACAUCAGAUGUUUGUAAUAACCGAUGUAUAUGCUAAGAAUAACCUCAGUUUUUACAUAAAAAGUAAUGUUUAGAGUUGGAUUUUACAUCAGUUCUUGUUUUAAUAAGUGUUGUCUUAAGUGUUUUUUGACAUCUUCUUUUGAAAUAAAAUAUGAUGUGUAUUUCGUUUUUUGCCACUAGUUUUCAGUCACAUGCACAUCAUAGAACCCAAAAUACUAUUCAUAUUCAUUCAUAAAAACCGCAAUACCAAUAUCCAACAUUUAAUCAUAUACAACCAAUAUACCAAAAAAGCCCAAACUACCAAAAUCUAAAGUCAUCCAAAAACUCCAAACUAAAAUAAUCUAGUUAGCCAUCGGCCAAAAUCCAAACUCCAAACUCCAAACUCUUUGGCGGCCUGUAAAAGACAUAUACUUCAUGUUAAUUAUGACUUAGAAAUGAAUAAGAAAAAUACCAAUCAACACGAACGAUAAAUAAAUGAAUAAGAAAACACACACACACACACAUAUAAAUCCAUAAGGUAGUGGAUAAGUAUAACUGGAUAUACAUGCCAUUGAGGAAUACUACUAAAUUUUCUACAAUCACUUCCUGGAAAUUAAACUAUUAACUUAUGAUUAUGCUUAUAAUUAUCCACCCCUGUUUAUUAUGCUUAUGAUUUAUUAUGGUACUUUUUUCUUCAAAAACUAUUAACUCUUUAUGAAAGGACAGUAAGGAUAAUAAAUGUAAGAUAGCAACAGUUCAGAUUGCAAGACUGUAACUUAGCAAAAACAAAAAACAAACAAUAACACUGUAAGAGGGAAAUUAUUGGUACAUAGGUCAAAUUGUAAACUACUGACUUGUACAAGCAUACUAACGGUCCUAUUCACAGCAUAUGCUAGAACUAGUACAUAAGUAUAUGUCUAUACAGCGCAACACGCAGUAGGCAAAACUGAAAUAGAAGCUAAAAUAACUAGAGAAAGAUACCAAUGUAGGCAUGUGGAAAGAGGGGUAGCAACUGUGAAGACAAAAUAUAUUAAGACAAGAAUUAGAUGAGAAGGUACCGAUUGACCUUUGUACAGAAUUUAUGUGCAUGACUUCUGAUCUGCACCGCAGUCUUGGUUGCUAUAUUUUUUGUGCACCAAAAGA